AAGGCUAUACUUUCAGGGAUCAUUUCUAUAGUUUGUUACUAGAGAAACGCCACUGAUCAUGUAGAGUGUCAAAAGUAAUUUUGAGAAAAUUUUCCUUUUUGAAUUAU
rnacentral:snoRNA from 1 species